rnacentral:rRNA from 1 species
UACGAAGGGAGCUAGCGUUGUUCGGAAUUACUGGGCGUAAAGGGCGCGUAGGCGGUUUGGCAAGUUGGAUGUGAAAGCCCUGGGCUUAACCCGGGAAUUGCAUUCAAGACUGCCUUACUCGAAUUCGGUAGAGGUUGGUAGAAUUCCCAGUGUAGAGGUGAAAUUCGUAGAUAUUGGGAAGAAUACCCGUGGCGAAGGCGGCCAACUGGACCGACAUUGACGCUGAGGCGCGAAAGCGUGGGUAGCAAACAGG